GACGAACGCUGGCGGCGUGCCUAAUACAUGCAAGUCGAGCGGACAGAAGGGAGCUUGCUCCCGGAAGUUAGCGGCGGACGGGUGAGUAACACGUGGGCAACCUACCCUGUAGAUCGGGAUAACAUCGAGAAAUCGGUGCUAAUACCGGAUAAUCAUUUGAAGUGCAUGCUUCGAAUGUAAAAGAUGGCUCCGGCUAUCACUACGGGAUGGGCCCGCGGCGCAUUAGCUAGUUGGUAAGGUAAUGGCUUACCAAGGCAACGAUGCGUAGCCGACCUGAGAGGGGGUUCGGCCACGCGGGGACGGAGACACGGCCCAGACUCCUACGGGAGGCAGCAGUAGGGAAUCUUCCGCAAGGGACGAAAGUCUGACGGAGCAACGCCGCGUGAGUGAUGAAGGUUUUCGGAUCGUAAGGCUCUGUUGUUAGGGAAGAACAAGUGCCGUUUGAAUAAGGCGGCACCUUGACGGUACCUAACCAGAAAGCCACGGCUAACUACGUGCCAGCCGCCGCCGUAAGAC
rnacentral:rRNA from 1 species